GACGAACGCUGGCGGCGUGCUUAACACAUGCAAGUCGAACGGAAAGGCCCUGCUUUUUUGGGGUGCUCGAGUGGCGAACGGGUGAGUAACACGUGAGUAACCUGCCCUUGACUUUGGGAUAACUUCAGGAAACUGGGGCUAAUACCGGAUAGGAGCUCCUGCUGCAUGGUGGGGGUUGGAAAGUUUCGGCGGCUGGGGAUGGACUCGCGGCUUAUCAGCUUGUUGGUGGGGUAGUGGCUUACCAAGGCUUUGACGGGUAGCCGGCCUGAGAGGGUGACCGGCCACAUUGGGACUGAGAUACGGCCCAGACUCCUACGGGAGGCAGCAGUGGGGAAUAUUGCACAAUGGGCGGAAGCCUGAUGCAGCAACGCCGCGUGCGGGAUGACGGCCUUCGGGUUGUAAACCGCUUUCGCCUGUGACGAAGCGUGAGUGACGGUAAUGGGUAAAGAAGCACCGGCUAACUACGUG
rnacentral:rRNA from 1 species